rnacentral:rRNA from 1 species
AGCCCAGACUCCUACGGGAGGCAGCAGUGGGGAAUAUUGCACAAUGGGGGAAACCCUGAUGCAGCGACGCCGCGUGAGUGAAGAAGUAUCUCGGUACGUAAAGCUCUAUCAGCAGGGAAGAAAAUGACGGUACCUGACCAAGAAGCCCCGGCUAACUACGUGCCAGCAGCCGCGGUAAUACGUAGGGGGCAAGCGUUAUCCGGAUUUACUGGGUGUAAGGGGAGCGUAGACGGCGAUGCAAGCCAGAUGUGAAAGCCCGGGGCUCAACCCCGGGACUGCAUUUGGAACUGUGUGGCUGGAGUGUCGGAGAGGCAGGCGGAAUUCCUAGUGUAGCGGUGAAAUGCGUAGAUAUUAGGAGGAACACCAGUGGCGAAGGCGGCUUACUGGACCAUGACUGACGUUGAGGCUCGAAAGCGUGGGGAGCGAACAGGAUUAGAUACCCCCGUA